CCUACGGGGAGCAGCAGUCGAGAAUCAUUCACAAUGGGGGAAACCCUGAUGGUGCGACGCCGCGUGGGGGAAUGAAGGUCUUCGGAUUGUAAACCCCUGUCAUGUGGGAGCAAAUUAAAAAGAUAGUACCACACGAGGAAGAGACGGCUAACUCUGUGCCAGCAGCCGCGGUAAUACAGAGGUCUCAAGCGUUGUUCGGAAUCACUGGGCGUAAAGCGUGCGUAGGCUGUUUCGUAAGUCGUGUGUGAAAGGCGCGGGCUCAACCCGCGGACGGCACAUGAUACUGCGAGACUAGAGUAAUGGAGGGGGAACCGGAAUUCUCGGUGUAGCAGUGAAAUGCGUAGAUAUCGAGAGGAACACUCGUGGCGAAGGCGGGUUCCUGGACAUUAACUGACGCUGAGGCACGAAGGCCAGGGGAGCGAAAGGGAUUAGAUACCCGAGUAGUC
rnacentral:rRNA from 1 species